CCUUUGGCUCUUUUUAGAGCCCCAUUUUAUCAAAAAAAAAAAAAAU
rfam:Citrus sinensis cultivar Ridge Pineapple sweet orange scaffold00015_contig_53, whole genome shotgun sequence.